rnacentral:rRNA from 1 species
GACGAACGCUGGCGGCGUGCUUAACACAUGCAAGUCGAACGGAAAGGCCCUGCUUUUGUGGGGUGCUCGAGUGGCGAAGGGGUGAGUAACACGUGAGUAACCUGCCCUUGACUUUGGGAUAACUUCAGGAAACUGGGGCUAAUACCGGAUAGGAGCUCCUGCUGCAUGGUGGGGGUUGGAAAGUUUCGGCGGUCGGGGAUGGACUCGCGGCUUAUCAGCUUGUUGGUGGGGUAGUGGCUUACCCAGGCUUUGACGGGUAGCCGGCCUGAGAGGGUGACCGGCCACAUUGGGACUGAGAUACGGCCCAGACUCCUACGGGAGGCAGCAGUGGGGAAUAUUGCACAAUGGGCGGAAGCCUGAUGCAGCAACGCCGCGUGCGGGAUGACGGCCUUCGGGUUGUAAACCGCUUUCGCCUGUGACGAAGCGUGAGUGACGGUAAUGGGUAAAGAAGCACCGGCUAACUACGUG